AUGCACGCUGGCGGCGUGCUUCACCCCUGCAAGUCGCACGAUGAAGCCCAGCUUGCUGGGUGGAUUAGUGGCGAACGGGUGAGUAACACGUGAGUAACCUGCCCUUAACUCUGGGAUAAGCCUGGGAAACUGGGUCUAAUACCGGAUAGGAGCGUCCACCGCAUGGUGGGUGUUGGAAAGAUUUAUCGGUUUUGGAUGGACUCGCGGCCUAUCAGCUUGUUGGUGAGGUAAUGGCUCACCAAGGCGACGACGGGUAGCCGGCCUGAGAGGGUGACCGGCCACACUGGGACUGAGACACGGCCCAGACUCCUACGGGAGGCAGCAGUGGGGAAUAUUGCACAAUGGGCGCAAGCCUGAUGCAGCGACGCCGCGUGAGGGAUGACGGCCUUCGGGUUGUAAACCUCUUUCAGUAGGGAAGAAGCGAAAGUGACGGUACCUGCAGAAGAAGCACCGGCUAACUACGUG
rnacentral:rRNA from 1 species